GGUUGUGUUUUUAACCUCUCUACAACCGCGGCUG
rfam:Bacteroidales bacterium 36-12 SCNpilot_bf_inoc_scaffold_340, whole genome shotgun sequence.